GAUGAACGCUGACAGAAUGCUUAACACAUCAGCAAUUGAUUGGUGGCGGACGGGUGAGUAACGCGUAAAGAACUUACCUCGCAGUUAGGGACAACAUUUGGACACGAAUGCUAAUACCUAAUCCUGUGAGAGAGCUGUGCGUCCCAUUAGCUCUUUGGAGAGGUAACGGCGCACCAAGGAGAGGAUGAGUAGCCGGCCUGGGAGGGUGAUCGGGCACAAGGGGACUGAGAAAGGGACCUUACUGCUACGGGAGGCAGGAGUGGAGAAUAUUGGACAAUGGGCCAAAGUCUGAUCAAGCAAUUCGGUGUGUACGAUGAAGUUUUCGGAAUGUAAAGUGCUUUGAGUUGGGAAGCGGUACCAACAGAAGAAGUGACGGCUAAAUACGUGCCAGCAGCCGCGGUAAUAC
rnacentral:rRNA from 1 species